UAAUACGAGGGGAGCAAGCGUUGUUCGGAUUUACUGGGCGUAAAGGGCGCGUAGGCGGCCACGACAAGUCACUUGUGAAAUCUCCGGGCUUAACCCGGAAAGGUCAAGUGAUACUGUCGGGCUAGAGUGCAGAAGGGGCAACUGGAAUUCUCGGUGUAGCGGUGAAAUGCGUAGAUAUCGAGAGGAACACCUGCGGCGAAGGCGGGUUGCUGGGCU
rnacentral:rRNA from 1 species